rnacentral:rRNA from 1 species
UAGGGAAUCUUCCACAAUGGACGCAAGUCUGAUGGAGCAACGCCGCGUGAGUGAAGAAGGUUUUCGGAUCGUAAAGCUCUGUUGUUGGUGAAGAAGGAUAGAGGCAGUAACUGGUCUUUAUUUGACGGUAAUCAACCAGAAAGUCACGGCUAACUACGUGCCAGCAGCCGCGGUAAUACGUAGGUGGCAAGCGUUGUCCGGAUUUAUUGGGCGUAAAGCGAGCGCAGGCGGAAUGAUAAGUCUGAUGUGAAAGCCCACGGCUCAACCGUGGAACUGACUCGGAAACUGUCAUUCUUGACUGCAGAAGAGGCGAGUGGAAUUCCAUGUGUAGCGGUGGAAUGCGUAGAUAUAUGGAAGAACACCAGUGGCGAAGGCGGCUCUCUGGUCUGCAACUGACGCUGAGGCUCGAAAGCAUGGGUAGCGAACAGG